GGUGGUUGUAGCUCAGUUGGUUAGAGCGUCGGAUUGUGGUUCCGAAGGUCACGGGUUCGAACCCCGCCCUCCACCC
rnacentral:tRNA from 1 species